rnacentral:lncRNA from 1 species
CCCAUCAUGCGCGACCUGCACCGCCACAGGUACUGGGUGUUCAUGGCGGCGCGAGCUGGGUGGGAUUCGCGAGCUCGAUGGUGAUGACGCUGAGCCUGCUGGUGCGGAUGGCCGUGGGUCGUUCGCCGUGGCCUACUCCAGCCUCGUGCUCACCUUCGUGGUGUCGCCGUGGCUCGUAAUCUGAUUAGCAGCUGCCUGUCAGAAAGAUGUGUGUGGUGGAAUUUGUUAUGCAAGCUGUAGUGUAGCUAGAAAACUCUGUGACCUGGGAACUUGAAAAUUCUGUAUUAGGAUUUACUGUAUCGAAUUUGUUGCAGAUGUUGUCAGCUAAUUAUAUGGUAUGAACAAACUAUUUUACGAGUGAACUGAGUGGAGCACAUUUAGUUAAGUUUAUUGUGGUGAAACUUGGCCACUCGAUUUGAAUUCUAAACUCAGUACAGGUACCCUUUUAUGUAUGUAUGUAUGUAUGCAUGCAUGCAUGCAUGCAUGUAUUCAAACAGCAGGUGAUUUAUCCGGGCGACUUUGAUGGCUUCGUUAGUCUUAAAAUUUGUUGGUUCAUCUUUUGGAGAUGCUCGUAUUCGCAAGGAGAGUAUGUGUGCGUGCAUGUAGCAUAUGCAUAUGUACGGUGUUUCGCCAAAUAAAACUAUUUUAGAAGAAGGGGUGGGCAGCAGAAUAGGUCAAAACCACAAAAAAAACAGGUUUUGUUAAGAAUUUUUUUUACAGUGCACAGUACUACUACGGAUAUAUAGUAUAUAGAAUAUCUAACAGUCUAUUAUUAUAGAUAAUUUAGUAAUUAUUACAUUAUAAAAAGUGAUAUUUUAAAUGGAAUGAUCUUUUAGACUUUAUGCUAGUGUCAAAAAAAUAUUAUAAUGAUGUUAUUUCUGUUCUUUUACCAUGAUACUCUUAUAUUAUACUCAUGUAUACUAGUCAUACCACAUGUGAAAUUUUCAGUAGUAUACAAUUAAUCUUGACCAUCGGAUGUUUUUAUACUAGUCCUUUUUGAAUGCUACUAUAGUCUAGUAUUGUGCAUCAUAAAAGAGCUUAAAUUCUCUAGCUAGCCGUGCAGCAUAAACAUUUCUAUCGUGCAUCAGAUAGUUGUCUGUCUAAUUUAUGCUUUGUUCUCGUAGAUAACUUUUUAAGAGACUUGCUCCUACUCAUAUUGACUUCCUUUUUUAAUAUUGGAGAUGGGUACUGUCAAAAAAUACGAGGAUAUAAGGCCGCCAUUCUUUUUGUUGGAGGGAAGGGGAGAUGAAGCGUGGAUGAGUCGCAUUGCAUGAGCACACACGAGACCUGGUCAAAGUAAACUCCAGCAAUGGAAGAACCCAGGUCAACCCUGAUCGAGAAGACGAGGUAAUCCAUUGCAUUCCUAGAGAGAUACACCAUUUGUACCAGAAGGCGUGUUCAUAGCUGCAAUGCUAACGACGCACAUUAUCAUUAAUAAGUCUCAGCUCUCAUGCCCUGAUGUACAGGGCAAGAAAAUUCUGUAGCCAUAUAUAAAUAUAAUAUAGCCAUAUAAAUUUUUAAAGGUCACCAACUCACCAUCAAAUAUAUGGCUAGCUCUGUCACCAUAGAAGGGAUGAGCCUACCUCUGCAGGUUUGAACUCAUCAAGGAUGAAGUGGGAUUGCGUAGGAUGGCCUGAGGCACUCCGUUUUUGGCCUAGUUUUUCUGUGCUUAUGAGUGAGUUAAUGCCUUAAUGGACUUGUGUAACCAGAACAUCUUUGCAAUCUAGACUUGCUUUCUUUCUCCUUAAAUGAAUCACCAGUGCUCCUGCUUAUUUUCAAAAAAAAAAAGCCUAGCUCUGAUUUGUCUUUGACAAAUAUUCUAGUACAUUUACAUGGGGUUUCUUUAUAUCUUCAAAAAAUUUGGACAGUUUCACUGGUUUUUUCCCCUUUUUAUUUUAGGAAUAUUUUUACCGGAUAGUUACUGUUCUUGGGUACCAGGGCAACGUGGGCGUGGCAUUAUACUUGAGGUACUACGUUGAACGUUUCAACACAGACACUGCAGUGUACUCAGAUCGGCCAGCAGAAGAGGUUUGGGCUUCAGAAAUGAGAGGAUCCAAGUGUCACAUAACGCGGUUGGAGGACGGGACAAAAUGCAUUGACUUGACCUGGAGCAAUGAGCACCAGGAGAGUUGCAUAAAGGCCUUGGAUCCAACAUUUUGCUUCCAAAAAUUUCCAACGCCAAGCUCAGCUUCCAUCAACUCCAUCUGCCGACACCUCGCUAAUUCCUCGCCAGAUCGUUAGCCCGCGUACGUGCCGCAAUGGAGCAGCAGCCUCGCGUCCACCCAAACACGGCGCCUUUCAACCUGGAGACGGGCCACGCCGCCGCCGGCGGCGGUGUGUACCCGCCGCUGCCGACGACCCACGGCCAGUCCGCGAACCAGCAGCAGCUCGGCGGGGCCGGGCCCAACAGCUGGGUGGGCAACGACGCCAACACGCUGCUGGUGGUGGCGGCGCUGAUCACGACGCUCACCUACCAGCUCGGCACCAGCAUCCCCGGCGGGUACUGGCAGCAGGAUACGGCCGGCGUCGUCGGCCGCGACGGCAAGCCGGUGAUGUACCGCGCCGGUGACCCCAUCAUGCGCGACCUGCACCGGGCGAGGUACUGGGUGUUCAUGGGGGCGAGCUGGGUGGGGUUCGCGAGCUCCAUGGCGAUGACGCUGAGCCUGCUGGUGCGGAUGCCCGUGGGCUCGCGCCACGUCCGGUGGUCGUUCGCGGUGGCCUACUCCAGCCUCGUGCUCACCUUCGUGGUGUCCCAGCCUAAGACGCACCUGUCGGUGGACAUCAUAGUCUGGCUCGCCGUCCUCGCCUUCCUCUGGAUCGUCAUCAGCCUCCACCCCGACCGCCGCGCGCGCGUCAUCCAGGACCUCUGCUGCAGCGGACGCCAAGCCUGAAGCUAGCCAACCAUCUCGUCGUGUUCUCUCGCUAGACAUCUUGCCUUCCUUGUUCCUUCUUGUUAUUCACCUUGACGUACGGGUGGUGGCAUGAUUAGUAGUUGCAUAUUUUGGUGAUGCAAAUGCAAUCGAUUGUUGCUGAUCAGCUGGGUUUUCUCAGGUAAUGAUGAACCGAGAUGAAUAAACCCUCAGUGUAAAUUAACCAUGAUAGUGUGAGAGGAAUCGCAAAGAGAGGUGGACAAAUGUGCCGUGCAAAGAUGACUGGUGAAAUUAGUCGAUCAAGCGUCCUUUUUUUUUUUUGAAAGGUACGAUCAAGCGUCCUCUUGGAGAUUCUUUGGUUUUGCUACUCCUUGGCUUGGACCUUGGUUAGUUGACGACUGGUUCUUUUUUCUUGAGCAUAAACCGUUUGUCCUUGUUGUUCCAUUUUCUCAGAGUUUUGAUGUGUGGCUGAUUCUGUCAAAUAUCACUUUCAAAAGAUUCCGCAGAAAAUGAACUUCCAAGUAGAAAAACAAGAGCGUUCCCAGACUCAAGAGUUUGAUCACGAAAGUUUGAGUAGGUGAUAAACAGAUGAUGUUAUCCCCCUCUCAAUCAUUUUGCUACAGUACAAAAAAGGUAAAAUGAGAUUAAGAAAAGACCAUUUGCUGGUCACAGUGAGAUGAAAGAUUGCACUGCUAGUCUGCUGGUAUGCUGUACUUGACGCCCCGUGUCAAAGUCAAGUGUGCAACGCGCUAUUGCGCCACUUGCAGACAUGGCGACAAAGCAGCCAUGGAUGACCCAUCCCAUUGACGUCUGACGGACUGACGAUCGGAGAGGAUUGGCCAUUGUUCAUUUGUCUCUUCUUCCUUGGUUUGGGUAUCCCACCUCAGACAUUCUACAUGUUUUUUCAAUAUGUUUCAAAAUGUAGAAGCUUGGAUAGAAAUGAAGCCCCUCUUUUUUAAAAAAAACGAUGACGAUGACACGCGCUCAUCUAGGCUACCGUGAGUAUGCCCCUUGUCACAUGUCUAGGAACCAAUUGGGCGGAGCCAAUUGAAAAGUCAACAAGAUUCAAGAAUCCUUGCAUCACCUUCGCCUCCAACAGCGAUUGCAGCCCGGCGCGGCCGCGUUGAGUGAGACACUACCAAAACAAAUGCAUGAACCCUACUACGUCACCGUGGCUUGCACCGUUUGAUCUCCAUCUUCAAAGAGGCUCGUGUCCGUUGCCCCGUCCUCGUACUUGUCACUUGCGAUGACGAAGAGAUCUGGAACACUCAACCGUCUGAUCUGCAUUCUGAAACCGUCGUGAGGCAUUAAAUGAUCAACUGAAUUCCAGCCAAAAGGCCAGAGAGGAGGGGGUUGGAACUUCUGAUUCCUUCCUAAAUGAGAGCGUAUCCGGCGUCAGAUGGCACUGAGUGCCGCCGCGGCCUGUAGACAGUUACUUGUAGGUCAUGUACCCCAGAUGACGAGGCCGCUCGAGCCGGCCGCCUCGACGACCCGGAGAGCCAUAAAAGGAACACGUUGACGCGUCGACGCGUCGUCGCCCCGAUCUCCCCAGUCCCCACACCACAAUUCACAAAGCAAGCCGAUCCAUCCGAGCUUCUUCGGGCCGGAUCGGAGCUCACCGUCAUGAACGGCGGUGGCGCGGGGAUGGGCGAGGACCCCAUGUACCCGCUGCCGCCGCCGCCGAUGAUGGAGGCGCCGCAGCCGCACGGGCACGUGCGCGCGACGGCGAACCACCAGCAGCAGCGCCCGGCGGCGGCCAACAACUGGGCGGGCAACGACGCCAACACGCUGCUGGUGGUGGCGACGCUCAUCACCACGCUCACGUACCAGCUCGGGAGCAGCAUCCCCGGCGGGUACUGGCAGGACACGCAGCUCCCGGUGGACGGCAAGCGGCCGCACACCGCCGGCGACCCCGUCAUGCGCGACCUGCACCCCCAGAGGUUGGUAAAAGACACGCGUGCUUAUUUCUUGGCCCAGUAAUCGAUCGGUUGCAGCACCGCCGCCUCCUGAGUUCCUGACGCGCACCGGCGCACGGGGUUGCAUGCGCAGGUACUGGGUGUUCAUGGUGGCGAGCUGGAUGGGGUUCGCGGGGUCGAUGCUGAUGACGCUGAGCCUGCUGGUGCGGAUGCCCGUGGACUCGCGCCACGUCCGGUGGUCGUUCGCGGUGGCCUACGCCAGCCUCGUGCUCACCUUCCGGUUGUCGCAGCCCAAGACGCACAUCUCGCUGGACAUCCUCAUCUGGGUGGCCGUCACCGCAUUCCUCUGGCUCAUGAUCAGCGUCCGGACGGAGCACCGGGCGCGCAUCGUCCGCCUCUUCUGUUGCGCCGGCGACAACUGACCUGCACGGGUCCCUCAUUGAGGUCGACUAGAUUGCCACCGCGAUUUUAUCGUAGUUUCUCCUCCUCUUGAUUUCUGAUUUGGGGAUAGCAUGAACAUUGGCAAUGCCAUUGUUAGGCUCUGCCGGUAGUAUGUCUGAAAGUGAGCUCUAGGAUUGGGGAAAUUGGGGAAUUUUCUGUAGAAAAAUCAGGAUUCGCAUGGAAAAUAGGAAAUGGGAACAGAAAACAUUUAUACAUCGAUCGUUUCACAUCCUCAGGGAUCUCAGCUGUUCAUAAGGAAAGUCAGGGGGCUCCUAUACGUCUUGUGGAGGAUGGAUAAGCAGAUGAUCUUUAGAGCCCACUAGGUCCAGUAGCUUCUCAUCUUCUUUCACACCUUCUUCCCCGACUCUCCCCGCCCCUGCCCCUUCGUCCUCCUUCCCGGCCGGUGGCUGCCCCGCCGCCGCGCCGCCCGCUCUCCACCACCGCCCUCCACCCCACCCAUCCUAAUCUGAACCUUCUUUUCGCGCCCGCCGCCAGCCACCGCCCAAAGGAGUUCCUGCCCGGCCCGGCCAGCGGCGCUCCCGUGCCGCCUCACCUCCGCCGCCGGCCAAACUGCCACCACUGCCGGGCCUGCAGCCUCCCCCGACCUCCUCCCUUCUCUAGGUCUGGUGGCCAUUGGAGCCCAGGAAACCCCAACCCUAAAUUCCACCACCCGUCCCCCACCCCCACCGGCCUCGCCCACCGCCAGCUCCUGGCGGCGACCUCGCCGCCGGUCGCUCCCGCCCACCACCCUCCCCACCGCCCGACUUCCUCUCCCCCCGACCUCGGACCCCAGCGGCGGCGGUGCAUGCAAGUGAAGAGAGGGAGGCGGGAGGCGAUGAGGAAAGAAGGAGAUCGUGCGGCCCACAGCGGCCGUACGAAUCCCAGGGUGUGUUUGGUUGGACCGUGAUUUUUGAAAAAAGCUGUUGUGAGCUGUGCCCUGUAGAAAAGCAGUUGUGAGAAAACAACUGUGGUAAAAAUAGCAGACCGUUUGGUUAGAGCAGCUGUGGCUUUUGAAUAAACUGUCGAAUGGAUCCUACAUGCCAUCCACAGUCCACCCCACUCAACUCUCUCCCUCUCUCACUGACGAGUCUUCCUCUAGCUGCACAGUCCACCCCAAGCAGAGCCCACGCCGGUGUCGGCGGCGCCCACGUCCGGCGGUGGGCGGGGUGCGACGGGCGGCAUGCGGCGGUGAGCGGCAUCCGGGGGCGGGGUGCGGCGGGCGGCCAGCCGUGAGCGACGGGCGUCCGAGGGCGGCGGGCCAGCGACCGGGGGUGGCGAACAGCCGGUCGGCGGCUGGGGGCGGCAGGUGGCGAACUGCCGGGGACAGCUGGAGGAGGCGAACGAUGCCUGUACGGGGGAGGAGCGAACUAUUCCGUGGGAGAGAAAUAGAUCUAGGAGUAAACGGAGCGGACUGUUCCGCGGGAGAGAAAUAGAUCUAGGAGUAAACGAAACGGUACUUCAUAACCAGUGACAGGUGGGAAUUUUUUACCCCAAAAGUACUUGAAAGCAAGAGGGAAUGUACUUUUAAUUUUGUACUAGAGCAAAAUCAGAUUUUAGGCAAAAGCACGUGUAGCUUUUUAACCUUUUGAUUAGUUUUUUGACUUUUGUAAAAGCAAGAGCAAAUCCAAAAGUCCAACCAAAGAUACCCUGGAAGGUGAAUGGGCUUUCCCAUCUUCCGGAAGAUGGAUAGGAUUCCGGAAAGUCAGAGAGUUCGCGCUGUUACGUUACUGUUGUUGUGGCCCAGGUGAAAGACGCAACAGCCCGCUAGCUCGGAGACCUAGCCAGCCCAAGGUCCAUGCUGCCAAAGCGGCCCACAGGUACGAGGCCUUUUUAAAUAUACAUGUUUUGAAAUAAAACGAGGGCUUUUUAUAGAAUUCGGUCUGGAUUCGACUGCUCGAACUUGGCGGAGACCACAACAUGCAAGUUCACGAAGAUGGCCAAUUCGCCUGUUUUCAAAGGAUUUUUUUUAUUUGAGAUUUUUUUGAGGUAGCAUAUCAAUUCAGUUAAAGCAAAUGUACAGAUACACUGUAGAAACAAAAAAUUAGAUACAAUCCAAAAGACUAGAGAAUGAGAACCGAAGCUGCCUAGUUUCUUUUGUGGUUAAUUUGGGGAUUAUUUUUAUUUCAAAAAAAAGGGAUUAUUAGGGCCAUAACAGAACCGUGUGGGACCAAACAUGUAGUGUGAUUAGAUGUCUAAAAAUUAUGUUUCUGUUCUGGUAUGGUAGGAGAGCGGGGGGAAACAAGUCUCGAGGGGACAUCAGCUAGUAAAGCAUGGAUGCAUGAUUCCAUGACUCCAUGAGCAUAAAUAAAGCCAAAGAAGACCUAACGGUAAGUCAUAGUAAACGCAUAAACGGUACGGGGUGGGACAGCCCGAGACCCCGAGUCCACCUUCGGUCAAUCACACGCCAAACCAACAUGAGUACACUCGCACUGCACCCCUCAGGCCAGAAUAUUCAUAUCUGCAAUGCUAGGGAGUAGGUAGACACACCAUUGCUACUAGAGCUAUUCAAUCUCAACUCCCCAAGGCUCAGGAGUCAUCUACAACGAGUCAGUCUCUGUGUUGCUGGUUUAAUUUGUAGGCUACCUGUACCUCAUUUGAUAUGACCUUCAUCUUUCAUUCAAAAACAAAAUUGAUAUGACCUUGCCUGGAUGAAAAAAAAUUGUAGGGUAACCAGCAACCCUAGUCUUUUUUUAUCUCCAAUACGUAGGAGAGCUGCGCAUCAUUAUAUCAAGAAAGGAAGCAUUUAAAUUACAACAUCACGGAGCAAACUCACGUAGUGAAACGGAGCAAGCAGCGCUCACACACACACACCCUAAAGAGCAUGUGAGCAACCCUAGUCUUAGGACUCUAACGCGGCAGAGCAAUUCUUCCAUGAGUCUGAAAAACGUAAUGUGCUGAAGAACCACGGACAUUUAUUAUUAUUGCAGUAUUCAUGAUUUGAUGAUGUGAAUUUUGUUACAAAAGAGCAUGUUAUGGUACAUUUAGUCUUGUAUCAUAGUUCGUUUAGGGCUGAAUUUUGAUGUAUUAUAAUGUUUGUGAUUUUUUAACUCGUGACACACGGAUUUUUGCAGAAAUUCGAGAAAUAAUGAUAAUACAUUUAGUCGUUGGCCCAUGAGUCAAAAUAUAGUAAAGUGAUGGUACCAGAAUAAACUAGAUGAACCAGUGCAAAAGUUAACAAAGAAAUAGCCAUAUAAUUUAGCACCGUGUGUGUGCUAAGCCUAGAUCUGCAAAAACUACCACUUGAAUGGUAGAAUUCUAACAAUGCUGUGUUAGUUAAUCAUUUCGGUGCAAUUACGUUGGAUUCUCAGGCAUUGGCAACACUUACUGCAUUUUCACCAGGUAUUUGCUGAUAAGUGUGGGUACUGGUCUGCUAGUCAAUGUCGGGGUGCCAUGCAUCAUCCGAGGUGCGUGCGUGGUAGGUUGAACAUCUCGACACACAGCGUGUUAAGAGUGUACUUCACAUCGUACAGCAGGAGUGCAGAAGAAUAGAAGGUACACAAGUGGCAAAAGCCGCUAGGGUAGGGGACAGAAAACAAUGACUCUUGACCGAGACAGACAAGGAGCUGCGUAUGUAUAUAUGUGCCUUGGAUCCUCUGUUCUCCUCACACUCGAAACGAAACCCAUAGCGUACAGCUCAACAAGACUCGGGUAGCUUCAGCCUUCAGGUCAAAGCACAUCUGCCAAUAACUUUUGUUGUUAGCUCGUCGUGUGCCCAUGGACCAUCAGUAUCCGUUCAUGUACGCCAGCGCGCCGCCGACGCCGGGCAACAUGGAGACGGGCCUCAUCACGGCGUACCCGCCGGCGCAUGGCCUGCCCGUGCGCGCGCCAGCACAGCAGCCCGGCGGGGGCGCGCCGGCGGACGACAGGGACAGGAGCGGCGGCUGGGCGGGCAACGACCCCAACACGCUGCUCGUGGUGGCCACGCUGAUCACGGCGCUCGCCUACGUUCUCGGCCUCAGCAUGCCCGGCGGCUACUGGCAGGGCACGCAGUUGAGGGACGACGGCAGGAUUGUGCACCUCGCCGGCGACCCCAUCAUGCGCGACCUGCACCGGCCGAGGUACUGGGUGUUCAGGGUCGCGAGCUGGGUCGGGGUCGCGAGCUCCAUGGUGAUGACGCUGAGCCUGCUCGUGCGGAUGGCCGUGGACUCGCGCCACGUGCUGUGGUCGUUCUCCGUGGCCUUCUCCAGCCUCGUGCUCACCUUCAUCGUGUCGCAGUCCAGGACGAACCUGUCGCUGGACAUCCUCGUCUGGCUCGCGGUGCUCAUCUUGACCUGGCUCAUCAUCGGCCUCCACCCGGACAGCCGGGCGCGCGUCAUCUGGGCGAUCUUCUGCGGCAACCGCGGCAACUGAAAUAAAGAAACAUCUUUCCUUUUUAUUUAUAUGAUUGUAUUGUAUCUGAGUUUUUGUGUACGGUUCGUCCCGAAGCUGGCUCAUGCACUGAAACUAAAUUGCUUCCGUAUUGGUAGUGCGAUGUUUGAUUGGCUUUUCUCAGUCACUGAACUCAAUGUAAUUUUUUUUUCGAGUAACUCAAUGUAAAUUUUUAUCCAAUUAUCCAUACAUAUUGUGGCUAAAUUUGACUCGCGAGGUGUGUGAAAUGGAAUUAGAGACGCACACAAUCAACACAUACCACGCAACACCACCGUGUCCAUACACCUCAUACACACCCUAAAAAUAAAUUAGAGACACACGAGACCUCGCACAUACGGAUCGUCAACAUCAAGUCCCUGGUUGUACUACUUGCCAUAUGGACACAUGCAAGCUUCCAGCUUCCAUUCCAGGACUCCUGCACACGUAAUUUCAAUAAAACUGGAUAUUGUGAAUUGUGAGGUAGCAACUAUCCUUACCUAUUUGCAUGAUUGUUGAGGUAGAUUUCAUGAUUGUCGUUUGGUUUUCAAAAUUUGUUGAACCAAUCAAAUAUUCUUGAAAUGCUUUAAAUUUCUAAUUUGCAUUUUACAAUUGUUUCUAGCUUUUCUAAUUAAAAAAGUUAUUUAAAUGACUCUCUUUAUAAAAAAGAACUGCGGUAGGGGUGUUUUGGUUCUGAAAAAUUAUUGAACUAGAUGUGUAAGAAAUAGUUGACAUAUUUUAGAUAUUAUUGAACUAGACUUGGGAAUGGUUGCCAGGUUCUAAAAAAUUCUUGAACAAGGUGCCAAAUGAAAUAUGUUGACACGCUUUCUGCAAUAGUCUCGUGAUCAUUAUCUGAACAACUACGAAACUGGAGAUUUCUAACUAGAAAUAACAAUAGCACUUCAAGCAGUUAGAAAAGUUGAUACACAUAUCUAGGUGCAUAUUUUGUUAUGUAUCUAAAAAAUCAAAACGAAUAGUAAUUCGGGAGGGAGUAUUAGCGGUUAUACAAUGGUUGAUAACAAUUAACUGGAUUAGCUGGUGAACUCAGCCGAACAACUCUCAAAGCAAGUCAUUCAUAACCAUGAGAAAAGUCGCAGACAAGAAACUUGGCAUGAAAGCUGUGCAAAGUAGGCUGAGCAAUCGAGUACAAUCAUCGCUAUGUAUAUAGAUACACGGCAAUCGGCAUGAUUAUAUUAGGCGUAAAUUUGCACCUCCUCCACUUUGAUGAGAACUACAAAAUUUCGUAGAAUUUUUCAGAUUUUACAAUUCCUUGGUUGCUUGAAAUAUUCUUCUGUUCCACAGCUAGGAUAAUAACUAGGUUUAUAAGUAACAAUAUUUCAAGAAAAGUGAAGUGAAAAAUAUUUCAACAAUAUUCCACCACGUUGUUUUUGUUUUAUUGUGUUCCUAAACUAAGUAAAGUGAAAAGGGGUGUCUUUUUUGGGAAAGGAACAGUAGUACAAGAAAACAACAAAGAAAACCUUUGCUCGGUCUGGAUGACUGAAUGCUGGUGGAGCUUAGCCUUGGCAGCUACGGUGCAGCCGCCAUAGCAAAGGAAUCAUUGCCUUUCCAUCUCACACCAACCCAUGAAACCUCGUUCCGUUUGCAUCAACGAAUUAGCCUAAGACCACCGCCAAUAUAUAAUAUCAAUAGCUAAUACUUAAUCUCCACGACAUGUGUUCACUGUUCAGUCUCGGAGGAGAAAGGAGGGAGACCAACUGAUGGAUGCGUAGUUGCAAUUGCAAAAGGAUAGAGCCAUAAAAGAGUUAAAGAGGAGACCGAGCUUCAUAGUAAACGGUACAGCAGGGUUGGAAGGUCCUUGAGCCUACGCUUUGGUCAAUCACACACCAAACAAUCCAUGAUUACGCCAGCACUGCAUGGACCCUCUGAAAUGCUAGGGAGACACACCAUUGGUACUAGGUUUAUUCAGUCUCAAAUCCUCAACUCUCAGGAGUCAUACAAAGAAUCUUGGUUACAUGUGUUGUUAUUUGUGAACUGAUCCAGUGUGCAUCGUCUUGCUGUAAGCUAGCUGAAGCAACAUUUGCAUGGGUAACCGGUAAACCAAGGCCAAGGUAAAGACUGCUCACUAUUUCCUUUUAUUUUCUGAACCUCUGCUCGUUACGACAGUUGAUGAUUUAACUGCAUUUACAGUUGAUUCUUGCACACUCUGUAACAUUAAUAUAAUACUAUAUUUUCACAAAGAUAUUUGCCUAUAAUCGUGGGUACUGAGAAGGUGUUCGCGUGGCCUUAUUUGAGGUGCGUGGCAGUUGAACGUUUCAGCGCACCGUGUUCCUUCGCAAGUGGCAAAAGCGACCGGGGUAGGGGAAAAAAAUGACUUGACCUGUAGGGAGCUGGGGACACUGAGAGAGUAGCAUACGCCUAUUGUUCAUACCCCAGUGGCAGGCUUAGAGUAGCAUGUGUGUGUAUAUAUGUUCCCUCAUUUGUUCGCUUCACUCGAACCACACCCAGCGCCAUUUCGCCUGAUCAAUACUCAAUAGUGUAGUGUGCCCAUGGAUCACUACCCGCCGCCGCCGCCCCUGCACACAAGUGCUCCGCCCACACCGGGCAACGGCAACCGGGAGACGGGCCACGUUGCUGUGCACCCGCCGCCGCCGCCGCCGACGGCGCUGGCGCGGGGCCUGCCCGUGAGCCAGCAGCAGCUCGGCGGGGAGCAUGACCUUGACCCCAACGCGCUGCUGGUGGGGGCCACGCUGAUCACGAUGCUCGCCUACCUGCUCGGCACCUUCAUCCCCGGCGGCUACUGGCAGCAGGACUGGAGCGACGACGGCAAGCGGGUGCUCUACCGCGCCGGCGACCCCAUCAUGCGCGACCUGCACCGGCCGAGGUACUGUGUGUUCCGGAUCGCGAGCUGGGUCGGGGUCGCGAGCUCCAUGGUGAUGACGCUGAGCCUGCUCGUGCGGAUGGCCCCGGACUCGCGCCACGUCCGGUGGUCGUUCGCGGUGUCCUACUCCAGCCUGCUGCUCACCUUCGCGGUGUCGCAGACCAAGACGCACCUGUCGGUGGACAUCAUCGUCUGGCUCGCCGUCCUCGUCGUCUCCUGGCUCAUCACCAGCACCGGCCGCAUCCGUGGGGCGAACCGCGCGCGCAUCAUGAAGCUGUUCUGCUGCAGCAGCGGCGACAGCUGAAAAAAAAAUCUCUUG